rnacentral:tmRNA from 1 species
GGGGCUGAUUAUGGAUUCGACAGGAUAUGUAAAGCUUUAGGAGCAUGCCGAGGGGCGGUUGGCCUCGUGAAAAGCCGCAAAAAAUAGAUGCAAACGACGAAAACUUUGCACCUGCUGCAUUAGCAGCCUAAUCAGUUUAAUACACUGAAGGUGCCCUCUCUUCUUGGUUUUUUCUCUUAGAAUGAGAGACUAGAGAGGUCAAAUUUAUAAGAGAUCGCACAUAAGCUAUGCUUGGAGCUCAAGUGUUAAAUUCAAUCAAGCUAAUUCUUUAGUAGCGUGUCCGUUCGCGCCUAAAUUAUGACUGAAAUAACCGGACUAAGCAUGUAGUGCUGACAGGCAGAGCAAUUCUGGACGCGGGUUCAAAUCCCGCCAGCUCCACCA